rnacentral:rRNA from 1 species
UACGUAGGGUGCAAGCGUUGUCCGGAAUUAUUGGGCGUAAAGAGCUCGUAGGCGGUUUGUUGCGUCGGCUGUGAAAUCCCGAGGCUCAACCUCGGGUCUGCAGUCGAUACGAGCAAACUAGAGUGUUGCAGGGGAGACUGGAAUUCCUGGUGUAGCGGUGAAAUGCGCAGAUAUCAGGAGGAACACCGGUGGCGAAGGCGGGUCUCUGGGCAACAACUGACGCU